rnacentral:rRNA from 1 species
CCCUACGGGAGGCAGCAGUGGGGGAUAUUGCACAAUGGGGGGAACCCUGAUGCAGCGACGCCGCGUGGGUGAAGGAGCGUUUCGGCGCGUAAAGCCCUAUCAGCAGGGAAGAUAAUGACGGUACCUGACUAAGAAGCCCCGGCUAACUACGUGCCAGCAGCCGCGGUAAUACGUAGGGGGCAAGCGUUAUCCGGAUUUACUGGGUGUAAAGGGAGCGUAGGUGGCAGGGCAAGUCAGAUGUGAAAACCCGGGGCUCAACUCCGGGAGUGCAUUUGAAACUGUCCAGCUAGAGUGCAGGAGAGGUA